ACGUAGGGGGCAAGCGUUAUCCGGAUUUACUGGGUGUAAAGGGAGCGUAGACGGUAAAGCAAGUCUGAAGUGAAAGCCCGGGGCUCAACCCCGGGACUGCUUUGGAAACUGUUUAACUGGAGUGCUGGAGAGGUAAGCGGAAUUCCUAGUGUAGCGGUGAAAUGCGUAGAUAUUAGGAGGAACACCAGUGGCGAAGGCGGCUUACUGGACAGUAACUGACGUUGAGGCUCGAAAGCGUGGGGAGCAAACAG
rnacentral:rRNA from 1 species